rnacentral:rRNA from 1 species
AGCGAACGCUGGCGGUAGGCCUAACACAUGCAAGUCGAACGGCAGCACAGUAAGAGCUUGCGCUUACGGGUGGCGAAUGGCGGACGGGUGAGGAAUACAUCGGAAUCUACUUUUUCGUGGGGGAUAACGUAGGGAAACUUACGCUAAUACCGCAUCCGACCUACGGGUGAAAGCAGGGGAUCUUCGGACCUUGCGCGAUUGAAUGAGCCGAUGUCGGAGUAGCUAGUUGGCGGGGUAAAUGCCCACCAAGGCGACGAUCGGUAGCUGGUGUGAGAGGAUGAUCAGCGACACGGGAGCGGAGACACGGUCCAGACGCCUGAGGGAGGCAGCAGUGGGGAAUAUUGGACAAUGGGGGCAAGCCUGAUCCAGCCAUACCGCGUGUGUGAAGAAGGCGUUCGGGUUGUAAAGCCCUUCUUUGGGGAGAGAAAAGCAGCAGGUUAAUACCCCGCUGUUCUGACGGUACUCAAAGAAUAAGCACCGGCUAACUACGUG